ACCGUGAGCGAAAGGGGAAAAGCACCCCGGGAGGGGAGUGAAAUAGAACCUGAAACCGUGUGCCUACAACAAGUUCGAGCCCGUUAAUGGGUGAGAGCGUGCCUUUUGUAGAAUGAACCGGCGAGUUACGAUAUGAUGCGAGGUUAAGUUGAAGAGACGGAGCCGUAGGGAAACCGAGUCUUAAUAGGGCGAUUUAGUAUCAUGUUGUAGACCCGAAACCAUGUGACCUACCCAUGAGCAGGUUGAAGGUGAGGUAAAACUCACUGGAGGACCGAACCAGGGCACGUUGAAAAGUGCUUGGAUGACUUGUGGGUAGCGGAGAAAUUCCAAACGAACUUGGAGAUAGCUGGUUCUCUCCGAAAUAGCUUUAGGGCUAGCGUCGAUGUUAAGUCUCUUGGAGGUAGAGCACUGUUUGGGUGAGGGGUCCAUCUCGGAUUACCAAUCUCAGAUAAACUCCGAAUGCCAACGAGAUAUCAUCGGCAGUCAGACUGCGAGUGCUAAGAUCCGUAGUCGAAAGGGAAACAGCCCAGACCACCAGCUAAGGUCCCAAAAUAACUGUUAAGUGGAAAAGGAUGUGGGGUUGCACAGACAACUAGGAUGUUAGCUUAGAAGCAGCUAUUCAUUCAAAGAGUGCGUAAUAGCUCACUAGUCGAGUGACCCUGCGCCGAAAAUGUACCGGGGCUAAAACAGUUUACCGAAGCUGUGGAUGACACAAAAGUGUCAUGGUAGGAGAGCGUUCUAUGUGUGAAGAAGGUGUACCGUGAGGAGCGCUGGAACGCAUAGAAGUGAGAAUGCCGGUAUGAGUAGCGCAAGACAGGUGAGAAUCCUGUCCACCGUAAGACUAAGGUUUCCAGGGGAAGGCUCGUCCGCCCUGGGUUAGUCGGGACCUAAGGAGAGACCGAAAGGUGUAUCCGAUGGCCAACAGGUUGAUAUUCCUGUACUAGAGUAUAUAGUGAUGGAGGGACGCAGUAGGCUAACUAAACCGGACGAUUGGAAGAGUCCGGCUAAGCAGUGAGGUGUAAGAUGAGUCAAAUGCUUAUCUUUAUAACAUUGAGCUGUGAUGGGGAGCGAAUUUUAGUAGCGAAGUUAGUGAUGUCACACUGCCAAGAAAAGCUUCUAGCGUUUAAUGAUACUCUACCCG
rnacentral:rRNA from 1 species